rnacentral:rRNA from 1 species
GACGAAGGAUGCAAGCGUUAUCCGGAUUCAUUGGGUUUAAAGGGUGCGUAGGCGGACUGAUAAGUCAGUGGUGAAAUCUCUUUGCUUAACAAAGAAACUGCCAUUGAUACUGUCGGUCUAGAGUAUAGAUGACGUUGGCGGAAUAUGACAUGUAGUGGUGAAAUACUUAGAUAUGUCAUAGAACACCGAUUGCGAAGGCAGCUAAUGAAACUAUAACUGACGCUGAGGCACGAAAGUGCGGGGAGCAAACGGG